UACGUAGGGGGCAAGCGUUGUCCGGAAUUAUUGGGCGUAAAGCGCGCGCAGGCGGUCACGUAAGUCUGGUGUUUAAUCCCGGGGCUCAACCCCGGAUCGCACUGGAAACUGUGUGACUUGAGUGCAGAAGAGGAGAGUGGAAUUCCACGUGUAGCGGUGAAAUGCGUAGAGAUGUGGAGGAACACCAGUGGCGAAGGCGACUCUCUGGGCUGUAACUGACGCUGAGGCGCGAAAGCGUGGGGAGCAAACAGG
rnacentral:rRNA from 1 species